rnacentral:rRNA from 1 species
GCAAGGUUAAAACUCAAAUGAAUUGACGGGGGCCCGCACAAGCGGUGGAGCAUGUGGUUUAAUUCGAUGCAACGCGAAGAACCUUACCUGGUCUUGACAUCCACGGAAGUUUUCAGAGAUGAGAAUGUGCCUUCGGGAACCGUGAGACAGGUGCUGCAUGGCUGUCGUCAGCUCGUGUUGUGAAAUGUUGGGUUAAGUCCCGCAACGAGCGCAACCCUUAUCCUUUGUUGCCAGCGGUCCGGCCGGGAACUCAAAGGAGACUGCCAGUGAUAAACUGGAGGAAGGUGGGGAUGACGUCAAGUCAUCAUGGCCCUUACGACCAGGGCUACACACGUGCUACAAUGGCGCAUACAAAGAGAAGCGACCUCGCGAGAGCAAGCGGACCUCAUAAAGUGCGUCGUAGUCCGGAUUGGAGUCUGCAACUCGACUCCAUGAAGUCGGAAUCGCUAGUAAUCGUGGAUCAGAAUGCCACGGUGAAUACGUUCCCGGGCCUUGUACACACCGCCCGUCACACCAUGGGAGUGGGUUGCAAAAGAAGUAGGUAGCUUAACCUUCGGGAGGGCGCUUACCACUUUGUGAUUCAUGACUGGGGUGAAGUCGUAACAAGGUAACCGUAGGGGAACCUGCGGUUGGAUCACCUCCU